AUGGGAACUUACAGUGAGACUGAAGAAGAUAGUUUCUUUGAUAUAUGUGCUGAGACCGGUUCUCUCUCCGAUUUGGGUUCGGAUGGUUCUGAUGCUUGUACUCGUAAUGAGAUUUCCGAACGUGCUUUGGGAUAUGAAUUUUGGACUCAGGAUCCUGAAAGUGUUGAUGAACGCCGCGAUAGAUUCUUGAAAUGGAUGGGUUUGAACUCGAAUUGCGACAGAUCUGAUUGCUCUGAUGAAAGAAAGACAAGUACCGAUAGAAUUAGGGAUGACAAUGAGACUGUGCUGGCAAGUUCAGAUGCCGAGGGCAAUUUUUUCUCUGGUAGAUCUUCCCAAUCUUUCGAGUCAAAUGAAGCUCUAGAAUUGGAGGAGGAUGCUGUAGAGGAUCCAAUGUAUUGGAAAAUCAGGAAUCUGGACAAUGGAUCAGAAUUUGUUGCAGAUAAAUUAGGCAAGGAUGGCAUGCUUAGCCGACUACGUGAAGUAGGUACAAACAAGAUAUUCACUAUUGAAGAAUUUACAAGAACUCUUGGCUCAUCGUCUUUGGUUCAACAGUUUCUCCAUAGAGAUAUGAAGGGAUUUAGUAUGGUUAAUACAAAGACGAAAGUGAGAAGUUUGCUUCAAAAACUCACUGUUGGCACCCGACACAAAGUGACAAAGCCAGAGACUGGUACUCAAAGAGUUCGGGUCCAAACCAGUAAGAAGGAGUCAAAAG
rnacentral:misc_RNA from 1 species